UGGUCCCUGGGGGCAGGUGGGAGAUGAUGAGGGGUAUCCUCCAGCCCAAGGCCCUCCUCCUAGUGGCCCAAGAUCCCUGUGGUCACUCUUCCUAUACUUACUAAUGAGCGAGCAUGAUGGGGCAUGACCCAGAGCAUGGGGAGACGUGGUCAGCCCCUGCUCUCUGGCUUGGGGGGCUUUGUGCAGGAAGGGCGCGCAGUACUGGGGUACAAGCCAGACUCCCCCAGAUCCCACCCUCACUGCCCCAUGCCCAGUGCACCUUGUCCUCUGUUCCCCAGGGCCUCUGCUCAUGGUGUCCUUUCUGCCAAGAAGACCUUCUCCGACCUUCUUGUGCUCUGGGCAAACUCAACUUUCACCAAAGGCCCUCCUCAAGCCUUGGUGCCUGGAGAAGCUCAGGCACCCUGUGGGCUUGGCCCUCUCCAGGGACAAGAUCCUUCUUUCUCUGUCACCCAACUGCCUGGUAGAACCCGAGUCCUGGCCCACUGCAGGCACUGAGGAUUUGUGACCAGGGCUGGAGCCUUCAGGAAGAAUGCUCCCAUGGGUGACCGAAGCCGGAGGAGCGCUCACCGAUAGACCAGCGCCAGGAUGUUCAGCAUGGUGGCCACGUCAGGGUGGUCAUGGCCUGACGUCUUCUCCAGGUCCUCGAGGGCCUGCUUGCAGAGUGGCACGGCCACCUCAUAGCGGCCCUGAGAGGCGUACUGGAUCACCAGAUUGUGCAGGGUGCGGAGCCGUGCUGGGAUUUCAUAGCCCCCGUGCUGGGCAGCCACGUCUCCUCCUCCAGGGCUGGGGGCUGCAAAGCCAAGGGCGGGAGGUCAGAUGUGCCAAGUGCCUCCUGAGCUGGGCCGGCACAUGCCAGCCAUACCUUUGACCGACCUCACACGUGGCCCUGGGCAAGUCACCGUUAGCUCUCGGUUUCCCCGUCUGUAGAGUGGGUCUAGUCACCCCACAAGAAGAGUGGGUAGAGUCCCAGCUCCGGUGCUUCAAGCUGUGUGUCCCAGGGCAAGUCGCCUAACCCCCGAGCCUCAGCCUCGUCACGUGCAGAAGAGAGGCUCUGAUACAAAGGCCACACGAUCAGCAAGGCCAGUACUGGCCCGCGGAUCAGCACUGUGCAUGCGUCCUCCUUUAACCCUCAGAGGAGGCUCAGAGGGGAAAGAAACUCUACCAGUGGCCACCGUGCAAACGCAGGCAGAGCAGGGCUCGCACCCAGGCCGGAUGGCUCCAAAGCUCUGAACUGUGAUGCCUGCUCCUUACAGAACUUGGGAGAUGAGAAAAGCAACAUGUAAAACCUGCCUUUUAAGCUCUAAUGCUGGGAUGUUAUAAUCAGAAACGAGGCAGGAGAGAACACAGCAGCCACUCAGACCUUGUUUUCUGUGACCUCUGGGUCCCAAGGACCAGGAGUUCACACAGCCUUCCUUUCCCGCCCCCAGAGCCAGCUGCCCCUCCGCACCUGGGCUCUGCUCCUCCUCACUGGGGAACAGGUCAUCCAGAGAGUCUUUGGGGACGUCCCCCUUCUCCUCCUGGGGAGGAAGACGGGAUGGGCGUCAGGGAAGCAGGCGGCCCAGGGGUCGGCGGGCUGGGUCGGAGCAGCGUCUGCUCCCUGCCGCCCCUCCCUGCUCCCAGGUGCCCCCGCCCCGCCCAGUGGCCAUGGUAGGGCUUACGCUGGCGGACGUGUCCUCGUCCAGCUUGCGGAUCUGGCUCAUGAACAGCAAGUGCUGCUUUUCCUCCUCGAGCUGGGCCACGGCCUGCUCGCUGCGCUGCAGCUUCUGCUGCGUCCCUGCCAGCUCCUCCCGCAGCCACUGGUUCUCCUGCACCAGGCGCCGUACCUGAGCCCGCAGCUUCUGCUUCUCCGACUCUACGGCCCCCAGGUGGCUCGACAGCGCCAAGAUCACCUGCGCAGCCAGCCGGAACAGAGGUCAGAGCCCUGCUGACCCCCAGCCUGGGCCCCAGAGAAGAGCCAGGCCCGGAGGAGCUGCAGGGCUGAGGGCCCUGAAGUUCUCCUCUCGUCAAGGGAGUUUUGCCCCAGGGCCCCAAACAGACCAACAUAGCCUGAGACCUGAAACCAGGAGGCUUGGGGAUUCCUAAGUCCUUCCUUCUGCGGUCAGGACCCAGGCUGGCUGUGCUGGACUCUGAACUAGCCCAUCCCCUUUCCUGGGCCUCCAGCUAGUCCUCCACAUCGAUGGUCCAGUUCCCACCUUGUGGGGUGCUCGGAUCAUUAAGAGCGCUAGCUGGGGUGCUGCCCUUUCCCCGAGCUGUCCACUCGUUCCCCGUCUCUCCUAGGAGUUGUACUCAAGCCCUGUAGCCAGAGCCACUAUACCGCUGCCCCUGGCCCAGGGCUAGCGCUUUCCCAAAGACCUUGAUAGACGACUGAAGGGCUACCGAAAGACCCCACCCUGACUUCUACCAGAGAGCCAGGGCAGCCCCUGUCCUCCUGCAGCUCCCAGGGAGGGAAGGGGGGUGUGUGUCCUAAACCUCCAGUGUCUGGAAAACCACAGGGGCAGGUAAGGGGAUCCAGAGGCCUCAGCCUCAGCCCCCAUCCCUCUCUCCAAACUCCAUGACUCCUUUCCUGAGCUUCCAGGCUCUUCCCGCCUUGGGGCCUUGCCUAGACUCUACCCUUUCUCCGUCCUUCAUGGUCAGGGUCAUUUCUGCAGUGAAGCCUCUUAUGCCCUCAGCCCCCGGAAAGCAUGGCACCUCCCCCACCUCCAUGCCAUCCUGUUGUCCAUCUGUGCCUGUAUACACUGGGAGGGGGCCCUGGUGUGUUCACCUCCGCACCUGGCAGUCAGCCGGCUGAGGAGUGAAUGCCCGACACAUUGCCCUCCCAGAGAGCCAGGCAGUCUGGGACUUUGUACUUUCUAGUUGAUUAGCAAACGCCUAAGUGACAGGUGUUUUCACAACCACUAGCUAUUUUUAAAAAUAUCCUAAACAGCCUGUCAGUAUUUACGGCAGAUGGCACGACCCCUAUUCUAAAAACAAGGAAACCAAGGGGAUACCACCUGCCCAGGACUCACAGAGCCAGGCAGUGUCUCACCAAGAUCUGAGUGGACCAAGACUCGCUGCCCGAGAGUCUAACGCCUUGCACACCCCAGCACCUCCUGGAUAGCUCUGUCUGCAUGUCAUCCUGGCAGCCUCAACUUAAGAGGGCCCAAACAGAACUCCUGACCCAUCCAGGCUCUCUCCUCAAUUUCCUCAAACCACAAACCUGGGACUUUCCCUGCCCCUCUCUGUCUCCUUUAGUCCAUCCCCAGGCCCUACUGGACCUACUUCCAGAACGUCUAGGACUGACCCCCUUCUUACUACCCUCAUGGCCCAACCCACCAUUUCUCAUUGGAAUUCUAGCAGCGGCUUCCUAACACCUGCUACUUCCUUCCACCCUGACCCACAAUCAUUCAUUCUCCACCCCUCAGCCAGAGAGAGUUUUAAAACCUAAGCCAGACUGUGUCCCUUUACUGCUUAAACCCUCCAAAGGCUUCUGAUUUCCUGAGAAUAAAACCCAAACUAAUAAGGCACAGCAUGAUCUGGUCCCCGCCUUCUCCACAGGCCUUUUCUGUCCCUCUCUUUCCUCACGAAGCUCCAGUUAGACAGGUCUCUCAGUUCUCCCUCCACAACAAGAUCUUUUCCACUUCAGGACCUUUAUACAUGCAACCUCUCACUUUCCUCCCUUCUCUGGAGGCUGGUUCAUUCCUUUCCUCAGGUCUUGAUUUAAAUGUCAUUUCCUCAGAAGUCUUGCUUGACCAAUAGCUAAGGUUGUCACAAGAUCUUGUUUUUUUCUUUGGAGAACUUACCAUAAUAUUGAAUAAAUAUAUGUGUAUUUCUGACUCUCUU